AUGGCACAAUUUUUGGGUGGCAUUUUUGUUGAGCCAAAGUAUUAUUAUAUAAUAAUGUUUUUCUCAUUUUUCUAACAUUUCAUUAUUUUUUUGCCUUUCUCAAAUCUCGGUAUUCGAACUACUCUGUUAUUAUUUAAUAAUCAAUAAUAUCAAUGCUGUAGCAUCAUACCUUUUACAUCGUGAAUAUUUAUUCUUUAGACGUUUAUAUAUGUAGUUUUAUCUAAAAAGCCAUUCGAUAUUUUUGGUGCAAUAUACUCUUGGUGAGCUUCACUCACCCACGAGAUGUAAUUAGAACUUGUUAUAUUUGCAUGUUAUUAUUGUACAUCCUUUCAAUAUUUACUGGUUUUAAUCACAUCCACACGUUCUUCCUUCCGCACCUUUUAAUUAUUCUAUUAUUUAGUCUUGUUUUAUCCUUUAACCAAUAAAUUGUAUAUCCUAUUAAUUCUCCGUCUAUAAUUAAGCUAGGAUCAAUAUUAACGGUCUGUCAGUAUUGGGAAUUAUAGAACAGGUUAGUUAUCACGUAUAGAUUACUGGAACAUAUCUUAUUAGUUAUUACCCCAUCACAGAUUAAGUGAACUAACUAGGAAAAGCGGUGCAGCAUUCCGAAGAAAGAGAAAAACGAGACAAGAAUAAGAAAGCUGAAUGAAGGAGCCAUACUUAAAUUUCUCAGCCGUCCGUGCAGACAAAACUAAUAUUACUGCAGAAGUUCGUGGAAAUGAUAUUGUUGAAGUUCAUGGAGAUGAAGUUGGUGAAGUUCAUGGAGAUGAUCAUGAUGUUGAUAAAGCUGAUCCACAACAAAUUACUGAAGAACAAAACUCAAAUAUUAAUUUGAAAGAUAUGGGGAUGGGGCCUGCAAUGUCUAAUUACAGUAUUCGGGAAAUGCUUAUACAACAAGGAUCGAAGGCUGUGCAAAAUAUUGACUGUGAAUUCAAAGAAGUUGUACGUUUAGGACAAAUAUCAAAACUGGAAGGGGGAACUAGAAGCCUCUCAAGAAAAUGUUUUUUUCGAACUUUACAAAAACGGGGAAAAAAACUUGAGAACCUGGAUGAUAUACUCUCCAUCGAAAGAACCCGUAUUUUGUUUUUGUUGUAAGCUAUGUUCAAAUGAAAACUUCAAGUUUUGUUCUGUUGAUGGUUUCAAAUCUUGAUGGAAAUUGAACCCUAAGAUACGAGAACAUGAAUCUUGUCUUGCACAUUCGCCUUUUCAAAGGGAAGACAACAAAUAUAACAAACACCAAAUCCUUGUUAAAAAUGCAACAGAGAAAUGGAAGCUAAUUCUUGUUAGAUUAUUGGACUUAAUUAUAUUUCUUGCUAAGCAAAAUCUAGCUUUACUAGGCCAUAGAGAACGUAUUCGAGUUGGGCAGGAAAAAGAAAAUAGGAAAUUUUCUUGAACUUGUUCAACUGAUUGGAAAAUACGAGCCAGUAAAACUGCUGCGUGUUCAUUUGCUUAAAGUAAGAAUUUCUAGAUAUGCAACUUCCUAUAUCUCACUACUAAUUCAAAAUGAAUUUGUGAACCUCCUGGGAGAUCAAUUGACAAACAAAGUUAUUGAUGAAGUGAAAAAAAGUGAAUACUACUGGAUAAAUCUCGAUAGUACUACAGACCAAAUGAGUCAAAUGUUACGUUAUGUUAAGAUAACUGACAAUGAAGUAAAAGUAGAAGACUCCUUCUUCGUUUUAUUAAGAUUUAAGGCAAAAAUGCUGAGCAAAUAACAUUGACGAUUUUUAAACAAUUAUAAAUGGACGACAUUAACAUUCAGCACUGUCUUAAACAAGCAUUUGAUAAUGCAGCAGUAAUGGCAGGUCAUCGAUCUGGUAUUCAAGCACGCAUCCGGGAAGUUACCCCAUAUAUUGUGUUUGUGCCAUGCAACAAUCAUUCUCUGAAUUUAGCAGCUGUGCAUGCAGCUUUAUUGGUUGCAAAUUCAGUUACAUUUUUGGGCACAUUGGACUGUUUAUUUGCAUUCUUCUCUGCCUCAACUCGUCGGUGGUAUAUCUUGAUUGAGAUAACUGGUGUAACGGCCAUGUGAAACGAGAUGGAGUAGUCGAUCAGAUGCAGUGAAAGUUAUUCACACCAAAUUCACGGAAGUCAUCACUGCACUUGAACGUUUGAUGGAAAAUGUAGAAAACGCAACUACGAGGUCUGAUGCAGUCUUAAUUUUUCAGGUGAUGCUGUCAUUUUCUUUCUUGACAUUCAUUAGUCUUUGGAGUGAUACACUUCGUGAUGGCACUCAAAAGAUCCUCCAAACGAAAGGACUGGACCUACAACAAUGCACCUUUAAAUUAAUUAUCAGCCUUGAAUGCUUCUCUACUUCAAAAUCGAGACAAAAUAGUGGAAGAUGCGUUGGCAUAUUCUACAGAAAUUUGCUCUGAUAUGGGAAUCAGCACAGAACGUCGACUUAGCAAAAAGAAAAUAAUGGGAUAUUAGAAAGUGUCAAUGCAGCUCAAUGUUAUGCCGCUGAAACAAGAAGAGAAAUGUUGUCAAUGAUUGAUCGACUAGCUGUAUAAAUAUCCUCUAGAUUCGAAAGCCUCCAGAAUAUUGCAAAGAAAUAUAUCUUUCUCACAACUUCGAAAUUGUUAGAUAUACAGUAUAAUUGUAAUUUAGAUGCGCUUGAUGAGAAUAUUCAGAGAAGACCUUCUCAUUGUAAGGGCAAGACUGCAAAAUUAUUUUGCAGCUGCUGAAGAAAUAGAAGGGCCCUUACAACUUCUUCAGUUUAUUCAAAAAUAUAAUCUUACUGAUUCAGUGCCGAAUAUAGUAAUAGUUUUAAGAAUCUUUUUAACUCUUGCAAUCUGUGUUUCUAGCUGUAAACAGUCGUUUUCUAAACUAAAACUCAUUAAGAAUUAACUCAGGUCAAUAAUGAGUCAAACAAGGUUGACUGAUUUGGUAAUACUUUCUAUAGAGCGUGACCUUGUGGGAAAAAAAUGAUUUUGAUGAGUUUGUUCAUGAUUUUGUGAACCGUAAGGCACGUAAAAUCAAUUUAUAAGCUUUUGUUUUUAAUUGAUUAACCUUCUUUUCUUCAACCUAAUAUUAUAAUUUUUUGUGUAUAAAUAUCAUAAAUAAAUUUAAGUGAAAUAAA
rnacentral:lncRNA from 1 species